rnacentral:rRNA from 1 species
UGGGGAAUCUUGCGCAAUGGGGAAACCCUGACGCAGCGACGCCGCGUGAGUGAUGAAGGCCUUCGGGUUGUAAAGCUCUGUGGAGAGGGACGAAUAAGUGUGGUCGAAUAGGCCGCAUGAUGACGGUACCUUUUUAGCAAGCACCGGCUAACUCUGUGCCAGCAGCCGCGGUAAGACAGAGGGUGCAAACGUUGUUCGGAAUUACUGGGCGUAAAGCGCGUGUAGGCUGCUCGGAAAGUCGGGUGUGAAAGCCCUGGGCUCAACCUAGGAAGUGCACUCGAAACUUCCGAGCUGGAGUUUCGGAGAGGAAGGCGGAAUUCUCGGUGUAGAGGUGAAAUUCGUAGAUAUCGAGAGGAACAUCGGUGGCGAAGGCGGCCUUCUGGACGAUGACUGACGCUGAGACGCGAAAGCGUGGGGAGCAAACAGGAUAGAUACCCUGGUAGUCCACGCCGUAAACGAGUGGGUGCGUAGGUGUCGCGGG